UCAGAAAAUUUCAACUUAACGAGUGAAGGAAGCAUUCAACUUUGAGUUCCGGUUAUUAUCGAGGCUUCAAGAGUUGUAGAAUUAUGGGACAUCAUUUGGUAGCUCGUUGACGCGCUCAGAGUUGCUUCCGGUUCUUUGGAAUCAAGUUAUACAGGAGUCAUUCCAGGUUCCAUUCCACCUGCCCCUCAGUAGAUCUUAGUCAUUUUGGUGAGCCCUUCUUCUUUGCAAGGGCUAAGUAAUUAUGUAAUGG